UCCAUUCCUAGAGUUUUGCAGGUGAUGAGACUGUAUCCUGUGUGGAUCCAUAGUUGACAGAGAUGAGAGAGUCCAUGUCUACACUCAGUGUUCUUACCUUCGAACAUCUGAAUGAUUAGUAGCUUAAAAUU